UUGAGAAAACCAUGGUUUUCAUGGUGUUCAAGGCUCAACUUUGCUUCUAAACAUGAGAGAAGCUCCAAAACCUCAAGUUCCAUAGUGGAAAUCCAAACCCUAGAUGGGCUUUACACUAAAACUCACCUUAGGUCAAGCUCCUCCCAAGUUCCACCUUGAUGGAGAGCUUCUUGAUCCUCUAGUCCUCCAAAAUCCACCUCCAAAGCCUUCUUCUCCUUCUCCUCCAAGCUCUAGGUCAAGCUCUCUAGAGAGAGAAAGAGAGGAAAUGAGAGAGGGGGAGUGGUGGCUGUGAAAAAGAGAUAGGAAAGGUGUUUGGGAUGUUUUAUAGGAUGCUACAAUUGCAUCUAAGCUCCCCACAUUUUCAUAUUUGCAGUAAACUAACUUUGUGCUGCCAGACCCGUGUACCGGUACACUUUCU
rnacentral:lncRNA from 1 species